rnacentral:rRNA from 1 species
AACGAACGCUGGCGGCAGGCCUAACACAUGCAAGUCGAGCGAGGACUUCGGUUCUAGCGGCGGACGGGUGAGUAACGCGUGGGAAUGUGCCCUUCUCUACGGAAUAGCCCUGGGAAACUGGGAGUAAUACCGUAUACGCCCUAUUGGGGAAAGAUUUAUCGGAGAAGGAUCAGCCCGCGUUGGAUUAGGUAGUUGGUGGGGUAAUGGCCUACCAAGCCGACGAUCCAUAGCUGGUUUGAGAGGAUGAUCAGCCACACUGGGACUGAGACACGGCCCAGACUCCUACGGGAGGCAGCAGUGGGGAAUCUUAGACAAUGGGGGCAACCCUGAUCUAGCCAUGCCGAGUGAGUGAUGAAGGCCUUAGGGUUGUAAAGCUCUUUCAGCUGGGAAGAUAAUGACGGUACCAGCAGAAGAAGCCCCGGCUAACUCCGUG